AAACCCCCAACGAGGUGGAACCCCAGUCGGGAUCUGCAUGCAACAGACAACUCAGAGAAGGAAGGAGCCCAAGCUCUGCCCCCCCACCUCGAAAUAUGUGACGUGGUUUUUUUGGUCUUCCACCCACCAGCAAAUAUUUCACCGUCUGGCCUAAAUAUUUCCUUCAACGCCCAUUUUGAAAGGCAAAUCUCAUUUUGAUGU